UACGUAGGGGGCUAGCGUUGUCCGGAUUUAUUGGGCGUAAAGAGCGUGUAGGCGGCCAGGUAGGUCCGCUGUGAAAACCCGAGGCUCAACCUCGGGACGUCGGCGGAAACCAUUUGGCUAGAGUCCGGAAGAGGCGAGUGGAAUUCCCGGUGUAGCGGUGAAAUGCGCAGAUAUCGGGAGGAACACCUAUGGCGAAGGCAGCUCGCUGGGACGUUACUGACGCUGAGACGCGAAAGCGUGGGGAGCAAACAGG
rnacentral:rRNA from 1 species